rnacentral:misc_RNA from 1 species
GGAAGACGAAGUUCCAAGCCAUUUCAAUAGGCCGAAUUUGGCCCAUGACAAUUUGCACGAGAGGAAUCCAAACCAGAAUCGUGGCAGAAUCAUCAGCAUGCAUUACUUUCCACCUUAAUUCUUGCUUUAAACAGAGUAUCCACCAUGAUUCUCUGAUUCUUCGUUGCUUUCCUUCAUUCCCACUCUACUUGCUGACCAUUUGAGUCGAACAGUAAUACUGUUCAUGGAAUUGGCCACCUCAAUUUUUUCUAUCUCUACAAAGAAUCUUACUUUAUAUGGAUACCCACGAAUUCAAAUAGGCUCCUUCAAGUACCGCCCAUGGCGUACUACACCUACACGCACUGCUAUUAGCGCUAGGAGUUCCUUCACGAAUUUGGUUUCAAAUGGGUAUGUGGGUAGAGGCAGCAGCAGCUUUGGAUAUAAUAAUAGAGCUAAUAACAGCAAUAACAAGAAGAUAUAUACCAUAAUAGACUCUUGUUUGGUGAUUCCUCCACCUAAAGGUAAAAGCCCACGAGCAAUCAUCAAGUUCUUGGGUGGUGCCUUCAUUGGAGCUGUCCCGGAAGUCACUUACGGCUACCUGAUAGAGCUAUUGGCAAAGGAAGGGUUUCUUGUUAUUUUAGUGCCCUACAAUGUGACAUUCGAUCAUGCUCACGCUGCUAAUCAAGUGUACGAGAGGUUUAACACUUGCCUGGAUUUAAUACUAACAUCAGGAUUGCCUGAUGCCAAUUUAACUGCUGCCCAGCUUGUUGGUCUUCCACUAUUUUCUGUUGGUCAUAGCAAUGGUGCGCUACUCCAAGUUCUGACAGGAAGUUAUUUCUGUGACAAGAUACCAAAGGCUAAUGCCAUAAUCUCAUUCAACAACAGGCCUGCUACAGAGGCGGUACCAUACUUUGAGCAGCUGGGUCCGCUUCUUAAUCAGAUGAUGCCAAUUGUGGAGGCAAACCCAAUGUACUCAAUGGCUAGGAGUGCCUCAGGAGAUGCUUGGAAAAUGCUAAUUGAUACUGCUGGAGCAAUAAUACCAGACACUGAACAAGAAGCUCUAACAUCAAUAACCAAAUUUGUUGAUCAGUUGCCCUCAGUAUUCAAUCAGGUAUUUGCUAUCUAUUUGCAGCAUCUUAGCAAAUACAUUUGAUGGCUGAUUCUAAUUUCUGCUAUAAUGAUUUUACUCUGUUCCUGACUUGUUGACCAAGUGCUGGACUAAGCCAUUCCUGUUCAUGAUAUUGUAUACAUAUGUAUGUAUGAGGGAGAGCCUCUCCUUUGUGAACAGAAGGUUACAGGCUCUCUACAAAGAGCUAGGGGAUGGCUGCAUAUAAUAGAUCAUCCUCCCCAGCCCUUGCAAAAUGGGGAGCCUUGUGCACUGAGGAUGUCCUUUACAUGAAUGAUUACUUUAAAGUUUUUGGGUUACAGAGGGAGUAUCAGAGUUCAAGCCCAAACCUUCUGAAAAUCGUGAUUGUUUUAGAAAUUCCUAUAAUGUCCAACACACACUACUGGUGAAAUUCAGUUCUGAUACAAUUGAUGAGACAGAUCUCCUUGAAGAGACCUUGAAGCCUCGUGUUAAGUCAAUGGGUGGGACAAUAGAAAAGGUCCAAUUAAGUGGUAACCAUAUCACACCAUGCAUACAGGAACCGAAAUGGCAAGUAGGUUAUGUGUACACUCCUGCAGAUGCCAUUGCUCAAGGUCUGAAGACUCUCUCACUGAAUGAGACUAGAGUUCUUUCCAGAACCAUUAGCGACUGGUUUAGACGUUUUGAAGAUUGAAAUGCUAGAGGUUCAGAAUGUUUGUUUUGAGGGUGGACAUGCAAUGGUAUGAUUAGUUUUAACUGUAAAUUUUGGGUUAACAAAUAAAUACUUCUGUAAGCAUAACUUUUGUUUCAUUGGUAGAGAAAAUUAGGUGUAUACUGAUUUGUCAGAGUAUCUUCUGUUGGCAAAUAAAUAUAGUGGAAGAUUAUUACAGACAAGGAGGCUCUCAUUCUAAUGGGUGAUCAUUCUUCUAUUUACAAUUUUGUGGUAUUUUUUUUAGUCCAAGACUCUUUCUGAUUUAUUCACCUAGACUUAACAUUCGUAUCAGAAACUCUGGAAGGAAAACAUAGGACCCAUAGAAUUUAGUCUGAAAUGAGAUGCUAACUUUUCUUAUUUAUCAAAAAGAUACAAACGAGGUGUGGAUGAAACUCAGAUCAUCCAAGCCUGCAUUAGAUUCUCUUUUUUCUUGCAGAACAGAAAAAAUAAAUCAUUAUAGUCAAGUGCAACUCAAAAC